AUUAAUAUAGGUACAUUCUUCUAUGAUAAUCAUACUCAGCAAUGAUCCUGAAGUUAACCGACAAUUAAAAAGAUCAGAACGCAGCGGCCCAAAACACGCUAAUGGCGUUUCGAGAGAUUUUGGAAUUAAUAAAUCUGCUGAGAUUAGUCCGAACAAUCAGAAGAAGCUUGGAACUGGGAACUUUUGAAUAUGCAUUUUUAUCACCUGACUGAUAUCACAUUAGUGAUAUUCGAAGAAAUCGUCGAGCAGAUGAAUACUUUAACAACAACAAUGAGAGCUAUCAUUACAGAUUUAGAAAGGGGACAUUUCGAAUAUACGCAGCUUUUGCCAGUACUUUUCAUUCAGUGCAGACCCACAUAAUUGGAUAGAACCUCAAGAAAAUGCAGCAAGUGUAUGUUCCUGAUAUAACAUGUUCCUGAUGUAAUAAUCAGUCUCGCUUAUCCAGUUGACGUUAAAUUGUCUAUUGCUAUAAAGUAAAAAUUAUAAUCCAUUGUUUGAAUUAAUUUAAAAUUAAAGUUUUUAUUUUUUUUUAUUAAAUCCAAAUUUAUUAUCGAAAAAAAUUAAAUUAUAAAAAUUAUUAG